rnacentral:lncRNA from 1 species
GUGUCUCACUUGCCUCAACCUAGUCUCAACCCUUGUGAUUAGCUAUUUACCUUGACAUCAGCUCGUGAAACAUGGAUUGCUUUGAAAACAACAGCACAGUAUUAUUUGGAUAUGAAUACCUUCACCUUUGACAUGUCUACUGCCCAGUAAAUAUGUUUUCCUGGUUAAAGCAGGAGGAUGAAGAUGGCAGAGGUUGGAAUGGCAUUGUGCCAAAACCAUGGGUUUUAGAGAUCUGAGGGUAUAUCCAUGCUGUUUACUACAUUAUUUAUUAUGUCUGUCUCAAAGUUGUUGAAAACAGUAGUUAUGAAAACCCAUGUAGGAAACUGGAAUAAGACAUUCUCAAUAAAUGGUAGUUCUCAAAAAAA